rnacentral:rRNA from 1 species
UCAAGUUAUUAAGGGUGCAGGGCGGAUGCCUUGGCACUAGGAGCCGAUGAAGGACGUGAUAAGCUGCGAUAAGCUUCGGGGAGUUGCACGUAAACUUUGAUCCGAAGAUUUCCGAAUGAGGAAACUCACUUAGAGUAAUGUCUAAGUAUCAUUAAGUGAAUACAUAGCUUAAUGAGGGGAACUCAGGGAACUGAAACAUCUAAGUACCUGAAGGAAGAGAAAGAAAUUCGAUUCCGUAAGUAGCGGCGAGCGAACGCGGAUUAGCCCAAACCAAUAAAGUUUUCUUUAUUGGGGUUGCGGACAUAUCAUAACGAAGAGGUAUCGUAAUUGAAGAGGUUUGGAAAGACCCACCACAGAAGGUAAUAGUCCUGUAUGUUAAACGAAAAGACUUUAGAUAUGAUCCAGAGUACCACGGGACACGUGAAACCCUGUGGGAAGCAGGAGGGACCACCCUCCAAGGCUAAAUACUACCUAGUGACCGAUAGCGUAUAGUACCGUGAGGGAAAGGUGAAAAGAACCCCGGGAGGGGAGUGAAAUAGAACCUGAAACCCUGCACUUACAAGCUGUGGAAGCACAUUUCUUGUGUGACCGCGUACUUUUUGUAGAACGGGCCAACGAGUUACGUUAAGUAGCAAGGUUAAGCACUUAAGGUGCGGAGCCGUAGCGAAAGCGAGUUUUAACUGAGCGUUCAGUUACUUGACGUAGACCCGAAACCGGGCGACCUACCCAUGAGCAGGAUGAAGCGAAAGUAAAAUUUCGUGGAGGUCCGAACCCACGAGCGUUGAAAAGCUCGGGGAUGACUUGUGGGUAGCGGUGAAAUUCCAAUCGAGCCCGGAGAUAGCUGGUUCUCCCCGAAAUAGCUUUAGGGCUAGCCUCAAGGUGAGAGAUACGGAGGUAGAGCACUGAAUGUCCUAGGGGGUAUUGCACCUACCGAAGACUAUCAAACUCCGAAUGCCGUCAUCUUAUACUUGGGAGUCAGACUGUGGGUGAUAAGAUUCAUAGUCGAAAGGGCAACAGCCCAGAUCGUCAGCUAAGGUCCCUAAAUGUAAGUUAAGUGGUAAAGGAUGUGGGAUUGCACAGACAACCAGGAUGUUGGCUUAGAAGCAGCCACUCAUUCAAAGAGUGCGUAAUAGCUCACUGGUCGAGUGAUCCUGCGCCGAAGAUUUCCGGGGCUAAAACUUACUACCGAAGCUACGGCAUCAGUAAUGAUGGGUAGGGGAGCUUCCCAUACGGGUUGAAGCAUGACCGUAAGGACAUGUGGACAGUAUGGGAGUGAGAAUGUUGGCAUGAGUAGCGAGAUGUGGGUGAGAAUCCCACAGGCCGUAAACCCAAGGUUUCCAGGGGAAGGUUCGUCCGCCCUGGGUUAGUCGGGACCUAAGCUGAGGCCGAAAGGCGUAGGUGAUGGACAACAGGUUGAUAUUCCUGUACUACCGAUAACCAUUUGAGAGAAGGGAUGACACAGUAGGAUAAGCUAAGCACACUGUUGGUUAUGUGUGCCCAAGCAUUGAGGCAGUCAAAGUAGGCAAAUCCGCUUUGAUAAUGCUGGGAUGUGAUGGGGAGCGAAAUUUAGUAGCGAAGUAGCUGAUUUCACACUGUCAAGAAAAGUCUCUAUCGAGGUUAAAGGUACCCGUACCGCAAACCGACACAGGUGGGUGAGGAGAGUAUCCUAAGGCCAGCGAGAGAACUGUUGUUAAGGAACUCGGCAAAAUGACCCCGUAACUUAGGGAUAAGGGGUGCCACCAUCAGGUGGCCGCAGAGAAUAGGCCCAAGCGACUGUUUACCAAAAACAUAGGUUUCUGCUAAGUCGCAAGACGAUGUAUAGGAGCUGACGCCUGCCCGGUGCUGGAAGGUUAAGGGGAUCUGUUAGAGCAAUCGAAGCAGUGAACUUAAGCCCCAGUAAACGGCGGCCGUAACUAUAACGGUCCUAAGGUAGCGAAAUUCCUUGUCGGGUAAGUUCCGACCCGCACGAAAGGCGUAACGAUUUGGGCACUGUCUCAACAACAGACUCGGUGAAAUUGUAAUUCCGGUGAAGAUGCCGGAUACCUGCGACAGGACGGAAAGACCCCAUGGAGCUUUACUGUAGCUUGACAUUGGGUCUUGGUACUACAUGUACAGGAUAGGUGGGAGGCUUUGAAACCAGGACGCCAGUUUUGGCGGAGCCAUCCUUGGGAUACCACCCUUGUAGUACUGGGACUCUAACCAUAGGCCAUGAAUCUGGUCUUGGGACACUGUCAGGUGGGCAGUUUGACUGGGGCGGUCGCCUCCCAAAAGGUAACGGAGGCGCUCAAAGGUUCUCUCAGUACGGUCGGAAAUCGUACGUAGAGUGUAAAGGCAAAAGAGAGCUUGAUUGCAAGACAUACAGGUCGAGCAAGGAUGAAAAUCGGACUUAGUGAUCCGGUGGUUCUGCGUGGAAGGGCCAUCGCUCAACGGAUAAAAGCUACCCUGGGGAUAACAGGCUUAUCUCCCCCAAGAGUCCACAUCGACGGGGAGGUUUGGCACCUCGAUGUCGGCUCAUCACAUCCUGGGGCUGUAGUAGGUCCCAAGGGUUGGGCUGUUCGCCCAUUAAAGUGGUACGCGAGCUGGGUUCAGAACGUCGUGAGACAGUUCGGUCCCUAUCCGUCGCAGGCGUAGGAAAUUUGAGAAGACCUGUCCUUAGUACGAGAGGACCGGGAUGGACGUACCUCUGGUGUACCAGUUGUUCUGCCAAGGGCAUGGCUGGGUAGCUAUGUACGGAAUGGAUAAGCGCUGAAAGCAUCUAAGCGCGAAGCCAACUUCAAGAUAAGAUUUCCCACCGCAAGGGUAAGACCCCAGAAAGACUAUCUGGUUGAUAGGUCGAAGGUGUAAGUGCAGCAAUGUAUUUAGCUUAUCGAUACUAAUAGGUCGAGGACUUGACCAA